rnacentral:misc_RNA from 1 species
UAAUAAGUGUUUUAUGGCACUCUUUAAAUCCAUAUCCACCCUGUGUGCAAUGUCAGUCGAUCUUCUUCAUGGAGAUCGACCAAACAUCAACCUUUAUCUUUUAACUCUUUGUCUGAAAAAUAUUAUGAAUAAACAAUUCAAAAUA